UAGCAUCUCUGGCUGCUGUUGACCUUGUUUUUGGAGUUAAACACGGUGGAAGCUGAAUUAGUGAGGAUGACUCCUGCUCCUGUCAUCUCUAAGCUCCUCACACAUCUUUACCUGCACAUGAGGAAAAUCACUCCUGUAGAAUGCAGAUGUUCAGAGGGAGAUGAUGCCACAUCUGGUCCAGCUGAUGGAAGGUCUUGAAGUUCUCUGACUGGCCUCGACUGAAGAUGGUCGUCUCACUGGAUUUAAGGUUCAGAUGCUCAGUAACAAACUCCACCAAUGAGCCAACAGGGAAGCUUUAGGUUUAUUAAAUGUUGCUAUGAAGGUAUCGCUGUUUUUCUUUGUGAAUGCAAUGUGCUCCAACUGAAACUUGAAUUAGAACUUAGAAGUAAAUCCUUCCAUCUGA
ensembl:lncRNA